CGCGCUAGCGAGCUAAAGCGGGAACGCACGGAGUUCUCUGAUUGGCUACCGAAGGCCGAGAGCUGCCGAAGAGUGCCGAAGAGUGCCGAAGAGUGCCGACGGGGGUCGCUGGCACCGAGGGGUGCGUGCCAGGCGCGAGAGUUCCGUCUUGUGGCAUGGCCUGCGGAACGAGCGGCCGUUGAGGGCUUCGUAGCUUUUCCGAGGGAAUUUCCCUGCUAGGCACGCACAGAAUGUGGACAAAAAUAGACACAAAUGGACUUAAAUAUACUCUGCGUAGAAGCAGUUGGAAGGAAGGACUGGACACAAUCCAAUUAAGCAUCAACAACUAAGAACACGUCAGCAAUCAUCCCUCCAUUGAGAGAUAUUCUUCAGCAGACAACCAUCCAGCUGAAAAAAAAAAAAAAAAGCCUUUUCCUAAUUGCCAAGGCUGGUUCAAUUGCUGUGAUUGCUUCCAGAGAAUCAUCGUGUCUAUUUUAGGUACCACAGAACCAGCAAAUCUUAUGGCUUGAAAGUAAUUGGCCUUCAGUGGGAAUUAGCUCUGUCUGCAAGCCUUCCUCAGUGCAGUGGGAGCACAGCAGGGCCAGGCAGUGCCAAGGCUCACGUGCACCUUUCUAGUGCUGUAAGCGUGCCUUUACGUGAGGCUUAGGUGGCUGUGACGCAUCUGGAGAUAGCGACUUCAAGGGACAAGAGAUAACGUUAUCUAAUUAAAACCAUACCUUCAUAAAAGACCACAGGGAUCUCGUCAGGUCACUUGCAAUUUUUCAGCUACCUGCAAUGAAUAGAGGACAAAGUUGCUUUGCUUUGUUCUCUGUUAUUCCAGGUGGAAAAGGAGUGGUGGUAUUAACAUAAAUAAUAAAAAUACCUUCUUUUGUUUGAUUUGGAUUGUCAGUUUGCUUCCAAAGCCUUUUUUGUUGUGCUUCUAAUUAAUGUCAGCGUAGUAACCCUCUUAGGAAACCAGAUUCUCUUUUACAAACUAAAAAUAAAAGCGUUCAAACUGCGGAA